UACGUAGGGGGCAAGCGUUGUCCGGAAUUACUGGGCGUAAAGCGUGUGUAGGCUGCUCCAUAAGUCGGAUGUGAAAGCCCCGGGCUCAACCCGGGAAGUGCACUCGAUACUGUGGAGCUCGAGUAUCGGAGAGGUUGGUGGAAUUCUCGGUGUAGAGGUGAAAUUCGUAGAUAUCGAGAGGAACACCGGUGGCGAAGGCGGCCAACUGGACGAAUACUGACGCUGAGACACGAAAGCGUGGGGAGCAAACAGG
rnacentral:rRNA from 1 species